rnacentral:lncRNA from 1 species
CCAUGGGGAGGAAAUAUUCACCGGCCUACGCGGACAUUUAUCUGGCCGACUGGGAGGAAUCUGCAUUUCUUAAAUGCGCGUCACGCCCCUUAAUUUAUUUCCGCUAUCUAGAUGAUAUCUUUGGACUCUUGGACAAAUCCGAAACGGAAUUCAACCACUUUAGGCGUAUCCUCAACUCACACCACCCCCGUAUCAACCUCAAACACACUCUCCAUCUUCAGCAGGUCCCCUUCCUUGACACGAUAGUUUUUUUCACAGAGACGAAGGAUGGACACAAAACAUUAGCAACCAAGGUUUAUUUUAAAGACACUGACAGGCAUUCCUUAUUAUUUAACACCAGCUACCAUCCCCGGCAUACUUUCAGCUCCAUCAUCAAGUCACAACUAAUCAGUUUCCACCGCAUCUGCUCUCUACCUCAUCACGUAGAGGAGGCCACCAGGACCCUUUUCAAGGCCCUUAGACCCCGCGGCUAUUCCAAACGUUUUCUUCUGACUAUUAAAGGGGAAGUGACCGCCCUCUUCCAGCCAGGCCGGCCCGUUCUCCCUGGAAAAAAGAACACGGAACAUAGGUUAAUUCCAUUCAUUACAACAUUCUCGCGACAACUAGGCCCCCUCAAGCAAGCUAUAAAACAACAUUUUAAUUCUGCCAAACCUCAAACCGCCCCACUCGCUUCUUUUAAAAUUUUAAUGUCAUACCGCCGUAAUAAAAAUCUGCAGGACAUGCUAGUCCAUACGGCACUCAACAAGGCAAUACGCACAACCUUCGACCCCUAUUUUACUAACCUGAAGUACAUCUUCAACUGUCGAGCCGGUGCCCCCAUCUCGCAGACCUUCACACUACUCUCCUGCAAUGUCGUCUACGCCAUCCAGUGCAAACUAUGCAGGAUCAUCUAUGUGGGCGAAACGGGAGCUACUAUUAAACAGAGGUUAUACCAACACAUUUACCAUAUUCAGAAAGGAACAAACGAUAAACGGCUGUAUACUCACUUCAUCUCACAUCAUAUCAACGACUUUUCAUUGUCCGGUCUAGAGACCAAUGUCGGUUGGUCCCUGGUCCAGUGGAGAGCUGCUGAGAGAAGGUGGAUCUUUAGGCUUUCCUCCACAGCCCCGUUUGGCCUAAAUGAUGAUCAUCAUGUGUGUGUGUUUUUACUCUUGCCCCCCCCCCACCCUAGCCCCAGGGCCCCCCCUCCGUCCCCCCAUUUUUUAUUUUUCAUAACAUGUAUGUGUGUUCAUUCUGCCCCCCCACCCCAGCCCCAGGCCCCCCCCUACGUCCCCCUAUUUUUUAUUUUUCAUAUAUAUAUAUAUGUAUAUUAUUAUUAAUAACAAUAUUAUAUUAAUAUGAUCUUCCACUGCACCCACUGUUAUUAUUUGGUAUUUUUUGUUAUAUGUCCCGUGCCCCCCUUCCCUGUCAUCCUUU